ensembl:lncRNA
GCUGGGAUUCCCUCGGCUGAAAGUCUUCCCUAGCAAAGCAGCGGCGCUGACUCUCGGUGGCCGCAGGGCCUAGCUUCUCGCGGCAGAGGGUGUCAUUGGCGGGACACCGGGCAAGGCCCGGAUGUUUUGGUCUUACUUCAAGUUUUUGGAAAUGAAAGGAAACCCUUUAUAAGAAAUACUAAUAAUAACAGCUGAUAUUUCCUGGGUGUUCAAUACAUGCCAGGCACUGUGUUAAACACUCCCCGAUCGGUAAGUCAUUUCAUCUUUUCAACAACAUUGUACGCACGCUCUGACCAAACCGUCUUACAGCUGAGGAAACGGAGGCAGCGAGAGGGGGAGAGAUGGACUCUGGGCUACUGCAUGCGUCACCAUCGCCCCUCCUCGCCCCUUGUCCGCUAGCUCAGUUUCUGCGGGGCAGGAAUCCCGGGCGGGAUAAGCUGGGUGGCUCCGGGCUGGGUCUGUCCUGAGACGGUCGUCAAGGUGUCGCCGAUGCUGCCGGCCCCGAGGGACGGAUGGUGCGGGAUCCACUUGCAGGGGGCUCACUCACGGGGCAGGAGGCCUCAGUGCCUCGUCUCGACACCUCUGCUCAGGACGUGGCAGCUGUCUCUCUCCAGCACGAGUCCCCCAAGACCGAGGACAAGGCAAGCUGGAGCACCCCUUGUGACCUGCCCUCAGAAGUCGCACCCCGUCAUGUCCUCUUUAUGUGUAUGCUUCCAUUUCUUAGAGCAGAUGCCCCCGUCCAGCCCGCGUGCCAGGGCAGGGGCCUUCGGUUCCCGCUUCAGAGGGACUCCCAAAGGCUGUGUGCCCAUCCUGGAAAGCUUGCGUUGUGAGUGGCUUCGCUGGGACUCAAGCCUAAGUCGUCACGGUUCACAAGCUGGGGGACCUUCUUCUUCACCUCCCCCCCCAGGACUAACGUCACACGGUGGCCGGGCUCACUGGGACUUAAUUCCAUCCGGAAAUACAGAAGGAUGGCUGCGCCUGGCCUAACAGCAGUUCACGAACAGACCCUCCGCCUUCGUGAAGGAUCUGGUGGCAGAGGCGGAAAAUGGGCAAGUCAGCAAAUGGAAAGCAUCACAGAAAUUUUGCUGAGUGCUCCAAAGGGAAGUGGGGGUGGCUACUUUAAAUAGGGUUGUCAGACAAACCCCCAAAUCUCAGGGGCUUAAUAAAUCAGAGUCCGUUUCUCUAUUAUUACAUCGGAUCCAGGCACUACCGGGGGUGGUGGCUGUGCUCCAUGUCCUCACACAUGGUCAUAUCUAGUCACUUCUCUGCUUAAAACCUCCCAGGGUAUAAUGGAGGCAGACAGUUUCAGGUCUGUUUCGGCAGACAGCAGCCCCGACACCUUCCAGCACGUGGCUUCCAAGUCAUCUGGUGUCCACUUCUGGGAGAAGGACAGAGGGUGGAGGGGCAUUAUCGGACGUGUCUCUGGGCACGGGCUGUCCCGGGCACGCAGGGCUUGCCGUCACGUUUCAUGGGUUCCAGCUCAGUGACAUGGUCAGCUUCCCCGGGCCUCCAGGACCCAGUGCUACAGACUGGGUGGCUUAGGCGACAGAAAUGGACUGUCUUGCAGUCUGGAGCCUGGAAGUCCAAGACCAAGGUGUUGGCGUGUUGGCUCUUUCUCAGGGUUUGUGAUGGAGAAUGUGCUCCACGCUCCUGUCCACAUUCCGUGAGUUGCAUGCCGCGUCUCUGGUCUUCUAGCUUCUGGUGAUUUGCUGGCAAUCUUUGGCGUUGCCUUCCCUUGUGGAAGCACCACCGCCUUCAUCUCCACGUGAUGUUCUCCCUGCAUGUGCGUCUGUGUCCAAAUUGGCCCUUUCCGUAAGGACACCUGUCAUGUUGGCUUAGGGACCCACCCUACUUCAGUCUGACUUCAUCAUUACUACUUAUACCUGCAAUGAUCCUAUUUCCAAAUAAGGUCACACGCUAAGGUCCUGGGGGUUAAGUCCCAAGUCUUCAACAUACAAGUUUUUAUGGGAUGCCAUUCAACACUUAGCACAUAGUAAUACCUACUUGCAAAAGGGGCUGGGAAAUGUGGUUCAGUUGUGCGCCAGCGAGACGAGGAAACCCACUUGGGGAAGAGUGAGCUGCCUCCAUUACACCCUGGAAGGUUUUAAGCAGAGGAGCGCCC